ACAGCAGCACCGCGGUAACACAGAGGAUGCAAGCGUUAUCCGGAAUGAUUGGGCGUAAAGCGUCUGUAGGUGGCUUUUCAAGUCCGCCGUCAAAUCCCAGGGCUCAACCCUGGACAGGCGGUGGAAACUACCAAGCUGGAGUACGGUAGGGGCAGAGGGAAUUUCCGGUGUAGCGGUGAAAUGCGUAGAUAUUGGGAGGAACACCAGUGGCGAAGGCGGCUUUCUGGACUGUAACUGACGCUGAGGCUCGAAAGCUAGGGGAGCGAACGGGAUUAGAUACCCCCGUAGUCCCUGUCUCUUAUACA
rnacentral:rRNA from 1 species